AAGUCCAUGGUAUGGACAUUUCCUUUGUAAUUUCUUAAAUCACUCCCAAACUUCAUAUAAGGACUCACCUUUUUAUUGAUGGAAACUAAUUAUGUCCAUUCGCAAUUU